rnacentral:rRNA from 1 species
UAGGAAUNUCCGNAUGGGCGAAAGCCUGACGGAGCAACGCCGCGUGAGUGAUGAAGGUCUUCGGAUUGUAAAACUCUGUUAUUAUGGAAGAACANNNGAGGAACAAAUGUGUAAGUAUUUAUGCCACGUCUUGACGGUACUUNNUCAGAAAGCCACGGCUAACUACGUGCCAGCAGCCGCGGUAAUACGUAGGUGGCAAGCGUUAUCCGGAAUUAUUGGGCGUAAAGCGCGCGUAGGCGGUUUUUUAAGUCUGAUGUGAAAGCCCACGGCUCAACCGUGGAGGGUCAUUGGAAACUGGAAAACUUGAGUGCAGAAGAGGAAAGUGGAAUUCCAUGUGUAGCGGUGAAAUGCGCAGAGAUAUGGAGGAACACCAGUGGCGAAGGCGACUUUCUGGUCUGUAACUGACGCUGAUGUGCGAAAGCGUGGGGAUCAAACAGGAUUAGAUACCCUGGUAGUCCACGCCGUAAACGAUGAGUGCUAAGUGUUAGGGGGUUUCCGCCCCUUAGUGCUGCAGCUAACGCAUUAAGCACUCCGCCUGGGGAGUACGACCGCAAGGUUG